rnacentral:rRNA from 1 species
GAACGCUAGCGGCAGGCCUAAUACAUGCAAGUCGGACGGGAUAGGAGAGCUUGCUUUCCUUGAGAGUGGCGCACGGGUGCGUAACACGUAUGUAACCUACCUUGAUCAGGGGGAUAGCCUCUCGAAAGAGAGAUUAAGACCGCAUAACAUCAUUGAAUAGCAUUAUUUAAUGAUCAAAUAUUUAUAGGAUCAAGAUGGGCAUGCGGAACAUUAGCUAGUUGGUAAGGUAACGGCUUACCAAGGCUACGACGUUUAGGGGAUCUGAGAGGAUGACCCCCCACACUGGUACUGAGACACGGACCAGACUCCUACGGGAGGCAGCAGUAAGGAAUAUUGGUCAAUGGGCGGAAGCCUGAACCAGCCAUGCCGCGUGCAGGAAGACGGC